UACAGAGGUCUCAAGCGUUGUUCGGAUUCAUUGGGCGUAAAGGGUGCGUAGGUGGCGGAGUAAGUCAGGUGUGAAAUCUCGGGGCUCAACCCCGAAACUGCACUUGAUACUGCUUUGCUUGAGUACUGGAGAGGAGAUUGGAAAUUUACGGUGUAGCAGUGAAAUGCGUAGAUAUCGUAAGGAAGACCAGUGGCGAAGGCGGAAUCUCUGGACAGUUACUGACACUGAGGCACGAAGGCCAGGGGAGGCAAACGGG
rnacentral:rRNA from 1 species